ACGCUGGCGGCAGGCCUAACACAUGCAAGUCGAGCGGUAGCACAGGAGAGCUUGCUCUCUGGGUGACGAGCGGCGGACGGGUGAGUAAUGUCUGGGAAACUGCCUGAUGGAGGGGGAUAACUACUGGAAACGGUAGCUAAUACCGCAUGACCUCGCAAGAGCAAAGUGGGGGACCUUCGGGCCUCACGCCAUCGGAUGUGCCCAGAUGGGAUUAGCUAGUAGGUGGGGUAAUGGCUCACCUAGGCGACGAUCCCUAGCUGGUCUGAGAGGAUGACCAGCCACACUGGAACUGAGACACGGUCCAGACUCCUACGGGAGGCAGCAGUGGGGAAUAUUGCACAAUGGGCGCAGGCCUGAUGCAGCCAUGCCGCGUGUGUGAAGAAGGCCUUAGGGUUGUAAAGCACUUUCAGCGAGGAGGAAGGCGUUGUAGUUAAUAGCUGCAACGAUUGACGUUACUCGCAGAAGAAGCACCGGCUAACUCCGUGCCAGCAGCCGCGGUAAUACGGAGGGUGCAAGCGUUAAUCGGAAUUACUGGGCGUAAAGCGCACGCAGGCGGUUUGUUAAGUCAGAUGUGAAAUCCCCGAGCUUAACUUGGGAACUGCAUUUGAAACUGGCAAGCUAGAGUCUUGUAGAGGGGGGUAGAAUUCCAGGUGUAGCGGUGAAAUGCGUAGAGAUCUGGAGGAAUACCGGUGGCGAAGGCGGCCCCCUGGACAAAGACUGACGCUCAGGUGCGAAAGCGUGGGGAGCAAAC
rnacentral:rRNA from 1 species